AGUGAACGCUGGCGGUAGGCCUAACACAUGCAAGUCGAACGGCAGCACAGUAAGAGCUUGCUCUUACGGGUGGCGAGUGGCGGACGGGUGCGGAAUACAUCGGAAUCUACUUUUUCGUGGGGGAUAACGUAGGGAAACUUACGCUAAUACCGCAUACGACCUACGGGUGAAAGCAGGGGAUCUUCGGACCUUGCGCGAUUGCAUGAGCCGAUGUCGGAUUAGCUAGUUGGCGGGGUAAAGGCCCACCAAGGCGACGAUCCGUAGCUGGUCUGAGAGGAUGAGCAGCCACACUGGAACUGAGACACGGUCCAGACUCCUACGGGAGGCAGCAGUGGGGAAUAUUGGACAAUGGGCGCAAGCCUGAUCCAGCAAUACCGCGUGGGGGAAGAAGGCCUUCGGGUUGUAAAGCCCUUUUGUUGGGAAAGAAAAGCAGCAGGUUAAUACCCCGCUGUUCUGACGGUACCCAAAGAAUAAGCACCGGCUAACUUCGAG
rnacentral:rRNA from 1 species